rnacentral:tRNA from 1 species
GCGGGCGUAUUUCAGUGGUAGAAUGUUAGCUUCCCAAGCUGAAGGUCGCGGGUUCGAAUCCCGUCGCCCGCU